rnacentral:rRNA from 1 species
CCCGCUGAACUUAAGCAUAUCAAUAAGCGGAGGAAAAGAAACUAACAAGGAUUCCCCUAGUAACUGCGAGUGAAGCGGGAAAAGCUCAAAUUUAAAAUCUGUCAGUCUUUGGCUGUCCGAGUUGUAAUCUAGAGAAGUGUUAUCCGCGCUGGACCGUGUACAAGUCUCCUGGAAUGGAGCGUCAUAGAGGGUGAGAAUCCCGUCUUUGACACGGACUGCCAGGGCUUUUGUGAUGCGCUCUCAAAGAGUCGGGUUGUUUGGGAAUGCAGCUCAAAAUGGGUGGUAAAUUCCAUCUAAAGCUAAAUAUUGGCGAGAGACCGAUAGCGAACAAGUACCGUGAGGGAAAGAUGAAAAGAACUUUGGAAAGAGAGUUAAACAGUACGUGAAAUUGCUGAAAGGGAAACGCUUGAAGUCAGUCGCGUCAUCCAGGGAUCAACCUUGCUUUUGCUUGGUGUACUUUCUGGUUGACGGGUCAGCAUCAAUUUUGACCAUUGGAAAAAGAUUAAGGGAAUGUGGCAUACAUAGUGAUGUGUUAUAGCCCUUGGUUGCAUACAAUGGUUGGGAUUGAGGAACUCAGCACGCCGCAAGGCCGGGUUUUUAUUAACCACGUACGUGCUUAGGAUGUUGGCAUAAUGGCUUUAAUCGACCCGUCUUGAAACACGG